AUUGAACGCUGGCGGCAUGCCUUACACAUGCAAGUCGAACGGUAACGCGGGGCAACCUGGCGACGAGUGGCGAACGGGUGAGUAAUAUAUCGGAACGUGCCCAGUAGUGGGGGAUAGCCCGGCGAAAGCCGGAUUAAUACCGCAUGAGACCUGAGGGUGAAAGCGGGGGAUCGCAAGACCUCGCGCUAUUGGAGCGGCCGAUAUCAGAUUAGGUAGUUGGUGGGGUAAAGGCCUACCAAGCCGACGAUCUGUAGCUGGUCUGAGAGGACGACCAGCCACACUGGGACUGAGACACGGCCCAGACUCCUACGGGAGGCAGCAGUGGGGAAUUUUGGACAAUGGGCGCAAGCCUGAUCCAGCCAUGCCGCGUGCGGGAAAAAGGCCUUCGGGUUGUAAACCGCUUUUGUCAGGGAAGAAAUCUUCUGGGUUAAUACCUCGGGAGGAUGACGGUACCUCAAGAACAAGCCACGGCUAACUACGUG
rnacentral:rRNA from 1 species